rnacentral:misc_RNA from 1 species
UGGAGUGCAACCAGUCUUAUCUGGUAUGACUCGUUCGAAAUUCACUAUUUGUCAUGCAAUCUAAUGGCCAUGUCUACCAAAAACACCAUCAUAAGAAGCUAAAGUAUCAAUAAUUUUCAAUAACCAAGUAAUAUGCAUAAUUAAUUAUUAGCAAAAAUAUAGACAAAAUCCUAUCUUUACCCUCUACAAGAGACAAAGAAAUCAAUCAUAAAGCUACAAGCUUUAAAGGUUUCAAAUGAAGAAUAUUUAUUUGAAGGAGGGAAGGGGGUGGGUGGGGGGUUUGGAUAAAAAUUAGUUGAAAUUAAGAUUCUCUCUCCUCGUCAACUGAAAAGGGAAAGACAAAGAAAAAAUGGACAAUUAUAGGCACUAUCAUGUAGUAUUCAAGUUAAAUUUGAUGUUGGAUUGACAAAGAGACAAGCCAGUGAUUUUUUAUUUGGAAAUUCUAAUAAGAUAUAUAUUUGAUAAGGCUCUUUAAACUAUAUAAGUUUUUAUAUAUAUAAAAUUGCAUGUAUGCAUGUAAUUAACUUAGUGAAUCUUACUUUCAUAAUGUCAACAUGAACAAUUGCCUGUUGUUUGGGAUACCUAAAAGCAUUAGCUUUCCCCCAAAUAUAAUAAUAAUAAUACAAAUUUCCAAUGUCUUAAAUAAAACUAUGCAUGUGAAGCAUGUGUUACAUUAGUUAUACUAUAGCAGCUUCCUUUAGCAUCAUGCUAUGUUAGCAUGCAAACUGCAAAAACAUAAAUCAAAUACACAAAAUAACAAUAUUUACGUGGUUCACUCUCUUAACAUAGGAUUAUAUAUACGGGAAUGCCAUCUCAACAUAGCGUGUCUUCAACUGCAAGGGCAAUAGCCCUCUCAUCAAUAGACAAGAAUUCUUUCCUCUUGAAUUCUAUGUCCUUUCUCCACUUUCGGCUGAAGCUUCUUUCUAUGGAUAAAGCCACCCUACAUGAGCAAAGCCACCCCCCAAGCCAAAUAACCUUUUCGCCAUUCUCCAAUUUAUAUGUUAAUUCCAUCAAUUUUAAUAUAAUUAAGAGUCCCACUCAAUUUAGAAAUAAUACUAAAAUAAGAGUUCUAAUUUAUAUAAGAAAUACUCCCAUUUAAAUUAGGAAAUGGUCUUCCAAAUGAAUUAGUAUUUUGGGUCAUAAAUCUAACAAAUAAAAGUACUGAGUUAUUAUCAAUUGGCAUACAUCUGGCAUGAAAUCCACUGGUCUUUCCUUGAAGCUGUCAAUUAUAUUUGCUUUGGAUAGUUUAACAAAUCCAUCCAGACAUAAUAAUGGUGUUUCUAGAGAAACAUAGUUCUGUUUUGCAUAUAUCCGCAUUGCAUAAUAUCUGUGUGUAUAUAUUAAGACAACUUUAAGCAUUCCUCAUGUCAUAUGGAGAAGGGGGACUUUCAUCAGUUUACAAACCAUUGUGGUCAUAUUUACAGAAAAGCAUGAGAAGAAUUAAUCCUUAUAAUUUGCAUGCUAAAUUUGAAUUUUAAAUCUGUCUUCCUCCACUGGACUUGCCUACCUCAAAGUUGAAAUGUUAACCUAUUCAAGUAGUUAAUUUAUUUAUUUAUUUUUCAAAUGAACGGGUUUAUAAGCAAAAGAAGCCCUUGAAAAGUCGGAAAAGGUUUGAAGAACAAAGUGAAUUAGCUUUGUACCAAGAUUUGUAUGGUAACUGGUCUUCAGCUCAGAGCCUAUCUGGUCAAUUCAAGAGCCAAUUUGCACCCACCAUGGUACCUUCCUCUCCUUCAGUUCUUAGUCAACCGAGGCCACUACAAGGACCUGAAUCAUUGCAGUACCAACAGAUUUCAAAUCCAUUAGUGGCCCCUUCUGCCUAUGGGACUGUUACAAAUCCAUAUUCUGCCAUGCCUGUGCUGUCUCACAUUCAGUCUGGGGAAUUUAAGCAGCAAUCCAUGCUUUCUGGUUAUGAAGUUUCUUCAGGUAAUGCAAAUCCUGUAAACAAGUUAGCUGACUUACUGGUAAAACCUCAGACUAUGACUCCUCAGGAAAAAAUUGAAAAAUUAAGGAAACGGCAGCAAAUGCAGGCAAUGCUUGCUAUUCAGAAACAGCAGCAGCAGUUUGGUCAUCAAGUUUCCUGUAGUGAUCAGUCCAUCACUCAAAAAUGUUCCCAAGAAAAUCAAAUUCAGCAUGUUGAGGGAGCAGAUCUAGAAGUGGAGGAUCUAAGCACUCUUCCUGCUUUUGACCCAAACUCACCAGUUGAACAUGAUGAUUCCAAUACAAUCUCUCUGGCAGUUAAUGAUUAUUCAGCAGAGGACACAGUGCUCUACCGGCUUCAAGAUAUUAUUUCAAAGGUAUGCUGACUUUGUUUUCCUGAUAGAGUAAUGUCGACUUAGUUUCAAUGGCAAACCAUGUUUUACCGCAGUUGGAUGCUAGAAUCAGACUUUUUAUGCGGGAUAGCUUGUUCCGGUUGGCUCAAAGUGCAAUGCAAAGGCAUUAUGCUAGUGAUACUGGCAGUACCAACAAUAGUAGCAGGGAUGAGAAAGUUGUCACAAAAGAGGAAACCAGAGGUCAUAACAGGUUGAUUUAUGCGAUUCACUUCUCAUUCUCAUACUUUAUGUAUUCAAACUCUAUGCUGUUUGAUUUCUUUUUUCUUUUUAGUCUUACGAUAAACGUAAAAUGAGGAUCUUUUGUGGUGUUACCAUUUCCUCUUUCCUUUCCAGUUGGUGGUAAAAGUAGUAUAAGAAAUUGGUUGCCAUUUCCAUUUUUAUUGGAUCUCCUAUAAUUAAAUACAUACUACAAUAUCUCCUUUAUCUACUUAAAAAAAUCUUCAUCAAAUUGUAAGUCCUGUUCUGGGAGAUGGCUUAAUAUGUGUGAGCACCUCGUAUGGUGCUUGAAUAAUGAAGUCUGCAUUUUCAAUGAGAAAAUUAAUACCAUAAAUAACGCAUAAUAGGACAAAACUUUCUUGAUGUGCUCUGUUAUGUCACUAAGCAAGGGUGUACUGCAAGGACCAGUGAAAAGUCUUCAAAUUUUAGAGUUAGAACAAAACUUGCCGAUUUUAUAAUUAGAGAAUUACUAAUCACACAGUGGAUAUAUGUCUAGACAAAAUAAUAAUAAAACAGGUCUUUUCCCUCUCCAGUCAGAAGAUAUGAAUUAUCUAAGUAUGCAUCAAUUUGUUAUUGUUAAGGUCAUUGCAGGUUACUGUCAUUUUCCCAUGUUUAAUUUUUAUGGUAUAUUGCAGGAAUGCUAUGUCUGAAGUGGAAACUGAGACCAAUCCCAUAGACCGUGCUGUAGCUCAUUUACUGUUUCAUAGACCUUUGGAGUUGUCAGGAAAGCAUCCUGAUACUCCUGAAUCACCUGCUUCUACUAAGCUCCCAAAUGAACAGAAAUUAGGCAUGGCAAAACUGUCAAUGGGUUGCUUGCCCGAGGCUCUAAACAGCAAACAGAUCUUUUUUCACCAAGGAUCUAAAGAUCCCUACCCACUGGCUGAUCCCCAGCCUGUCAGUCAAUGUAAAAGCACAGUUUGCAUUGACACCUCAGAUAAUACACCAAACAAUGGGCCUGCAGAUGAGGGAUCCAAGGAUGUGGAAGCCUCUCAAUGAGCAAAUAAAAAAGUUAUGCACUUAAGAAUUUCAUAAGGGUAAUUCCUUCCUUUAUCUCCUCCAUGAUUAUAUCAUGCUUGUAUUUACAAUAUGCGCGGAUUUACUGGUAAUGCGGAUAAUUUCUUUUGUUAGCCCAAAUUUAAUCCUUGUCAAGUGGGAGUUACUGGGGCUUAAACAAUGAUAUUCUGGGGAAUUCAAACAAAGCUGGCAGCUGUUGGAAGUGUUAUAGUUUGAUAACGCUAUUUAUCUAGAAUCCGAAUAUUGACUGGGCUUUAUUCUCUAUUAGUGCUCAAGUUGAUUACUGUUUAGCGUGUGUAAUCGGUCCAUUCCACGCUAUUGUGUGAAAGAUGAAGCUACUUGAUAACAUCUUAAAUAUGUCUUAGCAGACUUGAUUGUGGCUUACUCUCUCAGAGUGACAAUGACCUGUCUUUUCAAUUUUCAUCUUCCUGAAUUUUUAUUUGCAAAUAUUAGAUGAUUCAUUUUCAAGUUUCCUUUGGUUUCUUUGACAAAACACCGAAUCUUUGUCUGAUAUUAAAUUUUUGUCUUCAUUUUCUUUUUUUUUUUGGAAGGGGGGUUGGGGGGAGAGGCUCAUGGUUCUACAUUCUCAUUUUAAAGAAAUUCCUUUGUGAUUUUUAAUAAUCACGAUAUACCAUUUGUGAUUUUAAUCAUUUUGUUUUUAUUGUCUUUAUUGUUUUGUUCAUGUUCAUUCAAAGAAAUUUAUUUAUGUUCAUUCAGGAGUUCUGAGUUAAGAAUAAAGAAAUCAAUGUGAUUGGAGUAAUAAAAAUUAGUGAAUCAUUGAAUGUAAUGAGUCGUUAUGAUAAAUUGGUCCCAUGCGCACGAGAAUUUUUUAUAAUGGCAUAAACUAAAUAAAAAUAUUCAAUUUAUGAA